GCGAACGAACAGGGAUAAGCUCAGGUUGGAAACCAGGGCCCUGGUCCUGGGUUGUAGCCUGCAGACGUAGCGCUAUCGGCGGCUUGAGCGAAAGCCUCUUGGAACAGAGCGUGUGCCCAGGUGAGAAUCCUGUGUUUCGCUUGAAGUCCGCCGUGUACGGUGCUCGCUCUCAAAGUCACGCUCCUCGGAAUUGGAGCGUAAAUCAGGUGGUAGAUUUCAUCUAAAGCCAAAUACAGACCUGAGACCGAUAGUGAACAAGUACCAUGAGGGAAAGAUGAAAAGGACUUUGGAAAGAGAGUUAAGAGUGCUUGAAAUCGCUGAAAGGGGAGCGAAUGGAACCACAUGCUUGCUGAGAUUGCUGCCAAUGCUUGUGAGCCCUGGUCAUUAAAGCGCAAGCUUCUUGUCUAGGAGUGAGUUGGCAUUUGUAGUGCUUCUUAGCUUGCGCGUC
rnacentral:rRNA from 1 species